GACGAACGCUGGCGGCAUGCCUAACACAUGCAAGUCGAGCGAGUUGAUCCCUUCGGGGUGAAGCUAGCGGCGGACGGGUGAGUAACACGUGGGCAACCUGCCUCAUAGAGGGGAAUAGCCUUCCGAAAGGAAGAUUAAUACCGCAUAAGAUUGUAGCUUCGCAUGAAGCAGCAAUUAAAGGAGCAAUCCGCUAUGAGAUGGGCCCGCGGCGCAUUAGCUAGUUGGAGAGGUAACGGCUCACCAAGGCGACGCUGCGUAGCCGACCUGAGAGGGUGAUCGGCCACAUUGGGACUGAGACACGGCCCAUACUCCUACGGGAGGCAGCAGUGGGGAAUAUUGCACAAUGGGGGAAACCCUGAUGCAGCAAUGCCGCGUGAGUGAUGACGGCCUUCGGGUUGUAAAGCUCUGUCUUCGGGGACGAUAAUGACGGUACCCGAGGAGGAAGCCACGGCUAACUACGUGCCAGCCGCCGCGGUAA
rnacentral:rRNA from 1 species